AAACCAUUGACUAUAGAGAAACUUUCUUGAAAAAGCAUUUUAUGUAGUGUAAUUGUCAAUACAUCACAUAAUUUGUAAUGUGUCAUAUAAUUAUAGUUAUGAGCUAGAACAAUUGCAAAAAUUUGGGUCAUUCAGAUUAUACGAAACGCUAACGCGUAUAAGUUUUACAAAGAACGAUUUGUGCAUUGUACUUUGAAAACAGCAUUCUUUUCAACCUUGCACUGCACAAAUUCAAUUUCAAAUCAAUUAUUCGUAGCACUUACUUACCAUGGUUUGAUAUAAACUUCAUUGAAAUUCAUAAAAAAAAAAUCGUUAUCAGCAGUUGACUGAGACAAUGGGAAAAUUACCUACCCAUAAUGAAGGAUUUGAUAUCAGCUCUUGAAUUGUCCCUUAUUUCCACUGCACAGAACUUUGUAUAAAAAGCCCGCGAUAUUUUCACAGAAACAUCAGUCACUUGAAGCAAGUAAUACAACAAGCAGCAAACAGCCGCCAAAACCAAUCAAAAUGUACAAGCUUAUCGUUUUCACCGUCCUCUUGGCCGUCGUUGCCGUCAAUGCUCAAAUGCCCGAGGGCAUGCCAGCUUUGCCAGAAAUGCCUGCUGCCCCGGAGAUGCCAGGAGGCGCGGAAAUGCCAGCCACUCCCGAAAUGCCAGCUACCCCUGAAAUGCCAGCCGGUAUGCCAAAUCGCAUCUCCAACCGUAUUUCGAACCGUGGAAACCGUGCAUAAACGGUGCAGGGAUCAAGUGGAAGUGAACGUAUGGAUUUAAGUUAAUAAAGGAAGAGUUUGUUUCAAAAGCA